UACGGGGGGAGCGAGCGUUAUCCGGAAUCAUUGGGCGUAAAGGGCAUGUAGGCGGACUUGUAAGUCAGAUUUUAAAUACAACAGCUUAACUGUUGGAGUGGAUCUGAAACUGCAAGUCUUGAAUCCGAGAGAGGAAAGUGGAAUUCCUGGUGUAGCGGUGAAAUGCGUAGAUAUCAGGAGGAACACCGAAGGCGAAGGCAGCUUUCUGGCUCGGUAUUGACGCUCAUGUGCGAAAGCGUGGGUAGCAAACAGG
rnacentral:rRNA from 1 species